rnacentral:rRNA from 1 species
AUGGCAGAAUGCUUCAAUAAGGUGCUCAAGGGUGUACGUGCAUUACCCGUGACGGCAAUAGUUCAAUACACAUUUUACAAGAUGAAUGGAUACUUUUUAAAGUACUCAAUGGAGACGGAUAAGCAGAUUGCUGGUGAGAACAAGGAUAAGCACAAGUACUAUUUCCCACCAAAGGUUGAAGAAUGGUUGGACUUUCAAUCACGAAAGGCAGACUCCCAAGAAGCUGUACUAUAUGACGACAACGAGUGGAGGUAUGAAGUGAAAGAGCCUAGAGGAACCACAAACGAUGGCCACCAACACGGAGGUCGCGCUUUCAAGGUCUCCCUAACACGGUGUGAUUGCAGCUGCAUGAGGCCAUAGUUGCUUCAUCUCCCAUGCUCGCACUUGUUAAAUGCAUCCCGUGUUAGGAAUGUGGACGUCAAUCACCCUCUUAUCGUGAGGGAGUCCGAGUUCUCAAUCAUGACGGUAAAGAAUACAUGGGCUCCCCGGUUUCAGCCAUACUUGGACCAAUCACAAUGGCCGGAGUAUCAUGGAGUUCAACUAUGGCCGGACCCG